AGUUUGCUAAUCCUGAUUUCAUGGAAUCCAUUUCGGAUGUAGUUGAUGAAGUUAUACAGAACUGUCCCAUUGAUGUCCGGCGUCCAUUAUAUAAGAAUGUGGUUCUCUCAGGAGGAUCCACGAUGUUCAGGGACUUUGGACGA